UACAGAGGUGGCAAGCGUUGUUCGGAAUUACUGGGCGUAAAGGGCGCGUAGGUGGCCUUCUUAGUCAGACGUGAAAUCCCCAGGCUUAACCUGGGAACUGCGUCUGAUACUGGAAGGCUCGAGUUCGGGAGAGGAAUGUGGAAUUCCAGGUGUAGCGGUGAAAUGCGUAGAUAUCUGGAGGAACACCGGUGGCGAAGGCGGGUUGCUGGGCUGAUACUGACGCUGAGGCGCGAAAGCUAGGGGAGCGAACGGGG
rnacentral:rRNA from 1 species